rnacentral:rRNA from 1 species
CCCUUAGAUGUCCGGGGCUGCACGCGCGCUACACUGAAGGAAUCAGCGUGCUAGAAAACCUUGUUUGACAUGGCUAGGUAACCCGUUGAAAAUCUUUCGUGAUUGGGAUCGGGACUUGCAAAUGUGUCCCUUGAACGAGGAAUUCCCAGUAAGUGCGGGCCAUAAGCUCGCGCUGAUUACGUCCCUGCCCUUUGUACACACCGCCCGUCGCUGCCCGGAACUGAGCCGUUUCGAGAAGACUGGGGACUGCGAACUUUGGGCUGGAAAACAGCUUUUUGUUUGUGGAAACCACUUUAAUCGCAGCGGCUUGAACCGGGCAAAAGUCGUAACA